rnacentral:rRNA from 1 species
AUACGGAGGAUCCGAGCGUUAUCCGGAUUUAUUGGGUUUAAAGGGUGCGCAGGCGGCCAUUUAAGUCAGCGGUUAAAUCGUGGGGCUCAACCCCAUUCUGCCGUUGAUACUGGGUGGCUUGAUUGCGGUCGAGGUUGGCGGAAUUCGUUGUGUAGCGGUGAAAUUCAUAGAUAUGACGAAAAACACCGAUUGCGUAGGCAGCGGACCAGACCGCAAAGGACGCGCAUGCACGAAAGGGCGGGGAUCAGACAGGAUUAGAUCCCCUGGUGACGCACGCAGUAAACGGUGGGCGCUGGUCGUCGGCGGCAGACAGUCGGCGGCCAAGCGAAAGCGAUAAGCGCCCCACCUGGGGAGUACGGUCGCAAGACUGAAACUCAAAGGAAUUGACGGGG